GUCAGUUGAUUCAUACAGAUAACCAAAUUAGUGAAUACAUUUAACAAUUUCUAACUCGCACAUUUAAGAAAGGACAAUGUGCGAUAAGAGCCAGUCUCCAGGACCAAUAGAGCUAGUAGCAAUUUAAACUCACAUACUAUAACCAUCCCAAUGACCAUCUAUAAGGAACUUGGCUUUGAGCCUCAAGUUACCACCAAUCUGUACAAACAUGUUAAAGCCCUCUCUUUUGCCACAUUCACAACCCAAUAUUUAAACCAAAAAUUCAGCUCUACAAAUAAAUAUUUUAAGCAAUGACAAUUCUGUUAAGUGAGCAUUUUUGUGAUUUCAACAUUACAAGAGGGAAGUUAGUUUGUUCGGAUGACGCUUUUGUUUCAC